CGCAACACCAACAAGGCCACCAAAACUAGUAAUCCUCGAAUUCUUCAUCAUCCCGGAGCUGUACUUCCAUAUUUGAAUGACACAAUCCAGGGUUUCUCUGCCAUUCGGUGGUCGAAUGAGUAAACCAUUGAGCUAGUUAAUAUUAUUGGGUUAUUUAAUCAGGAGUCAUGAUUCUAAGCAGCAGAUCUCUAGAGAGAGUCUUCUCCUUUGUCCUGCUGGCCCUGGUGGUCUUGUCCUGGUCCUAUGUAAUCUACGCUAGCCGGGUCGCUGCCCGCUGGCAGCUGGAGAGCCGGGACCAGGUCUCCCUGUAAUCGGUGACCGGUCCAGCGCGCACCGUCGAUACGAUCCGGAAGCCUGGGUGUGGGAUGAACCCUGGACCUGGUCAGAACCAUCCAGGACUGGAAGGAAAUCUCCGUUCCAAAACCCUGCUUUACCACAAGAAACACUUUCAUAAACACUUUUGCAUUUGUUUUAAAUAAUACUUAUUUUGGAGAGUUAUUUGAACAAAUGCAAUAAAUAAAGGGUGAAGUGAGAGUCUGUGCUUUAUUAAUGAAUUUUUUGGAUGAAGUCGGGAUCAGGUCAGAGAUUGGUCUGAGCUUUGGUCCAGAUUUUCAAGCUUAGUUCAAAGAUGUUCGUCUCCAUGACGACUGCAUCCAAAGACCUGAGGAACUAUUUGGGACCAGGUGAACCUUAGAUCUAUUAUUUGACCGGUGUGUGUCUGUCUGUGUCCGUGUGUCUGUGUUUGUAUGUGUUAGUGAUUGAGUAACCCAGGAUGAUGGAGGGAUGUUUACACACAGUUAAUUAGAACUGCUUUGAUGUGUGGACAUGUGUGUGUGUGUGUGUGUGUCCCCUUAUAUGUAAAUCCUCCUAAUAGAAUGAGUAAAGCAGAUGAGAGGGAAACAUCUUUUGUUGCUGUGUACUGUGAACACGCAUUUCAUUAGGCAAAGCACUCGCUCUCUUCUUUCAUUCACAAAGACACAUCUCUGUCUCAGUUUUCCCCAUCCCUCUAUCAGCAGCACAUUGUCAUCACACUACAUAACCACCUCAUCGCAACCGUGUGUGUGUUUGUGUGUGAGAGAGAGUGUGUUGACUCAUCUGCACGAGUGGAAUGAAUUCAAUCACAGAUGCAGAUGGCAGCCCUAGAUUCACACACACACAUUUUAUUUUGCAGUAUCACAUUAAGAUUUAAAAUCGAUGGCUCUAUUACAAUGAGUUAAUAGAUCAUAAUCUUUAGCUUUCAGCUGAAAUUUCUCAUAUUGAAUCAUAGUUUAUUAAUCUGUUUCAAUGAAAUGUGCAAUAUAGAACGAUAGUUUAUGGAUCUAUACUAAAUGUUUUUAUGAAAUGUCUUGAACGGAAUUGUAUUGAUCCUUAUUACAUUUCUUUACGAAAGGUCUAAUAUGCUAAUGUAUUUUACUGAUCUAUCUUGAAUGUUUUAAUUAAAUGUCACA